rnacentral:misc_RNA from 1 species
UCUCCCGUGAGGGAGCAGUCUCGUGUGAUACUUGUAACACACAACGAGGGUUGCGUUCGUUUCCCCACUUAAGGGAACAGCUCAAGCCACGAACUGACGACGGCCAUGCAUCACCUGCUAUACACCCUCGAAGGCUUCUCCCCUUUCAAGGAGCGUGCAGUAUAGUUUCUAGCCUCGGUAAGGUUCUUCGCUUAGCGACGAAUUAAGCCACAUGAUCCACCGCUUGUGCGAGCCCCCGUCUAUUCCUUUGAGUUUUAAUCUUGCGAUCGUACUACCCAGGCGGUCUGUUUAACGCGUUAGCUUCGCCACAGAGAGGGUCGAUACUCCCUAUAGCCAACAGACAGCGUUUAGGGCGUGGACUAC